rnacentral:lncRNA from 1 species
AAAUACAAAUAAUUCUCAAAAGCUCACUGAAAAUGUCACUGAUUCCAAGGAUCUUCGGCGAUCGACGAAGCAACAGCAUGUUCGAUCCCUUCGCAAUGGACGUGUUUGAUCCAUUCAGGGAAUUAGGCUUCCCAGGUUCCAGUUCAAGGGAGACCUCUGCAUUUGCCAACACUCGAAUCGACUGGAGGGAAACUCCUGAGGCACAUGUGUUCAAGGCUGAUCUUCCAGGGCUCAAGAAGGAAGAAGUGAAAGUGGAGAUCGAAGAGGAUCGUGUUCUUCAGAUUAGUGGAGAGAGGAACGUGGAGAAAGAAGAUAAGAAUGAUACUUGGCACCGAAUGGAACGCAGUAGUGGCAAAUUCAUGAGAAGAUUUAGACUUCCUGAGAACGCAAAGAUGGAUCAAGUUAAGGCAUCUAUGGAUAAUGGAGUACUUACUGUCACCGUCCCGAAGGAAGAAGUGAAGAAGCCUGAUGUCAAAUCCAUUGAGAUCUCUGGUUAGACAUGUUGGUUGAAAGUUUCUAUAUGUAGAUAUUAAGGUGUGUAUUGUGGAAAAGUAUGGAGCUUUUGGUGUGUGUCUUGUGCUAAGUCCUCCCUUUUUGGCUAUCAUCUGUUUGAUGUAUUUACCUUGAGAACUCUGUAUGUGAAAAAUGUUGUAGUACUAAAUAAUAUAUUUCAUUUCUGGUAUGAUUCUGCGAUCUGUUCGAAUAUUUUAUGUUGUUCUUUCCGCCCUAUUUUCACACCCAGUCUUCUGCGUAAUCAAACACGGAACGAAAAAAGUAAAGGAAUGGCCUAAAAUUUAUUUAUCAAAUGUAUUGAAGAGUGUGUAGGGUAAUAAUCGAAAUUAUCAAUUUAGUAAAGGUUGAAGACUCUCUAACUCCUGCUGUGUUUCCAGAAAUACUAAUGGAAGUAUCUCGAAAGCGUCAAAUUUUAAUUGUUUAAAAAUUAUAUGUGAUUAAAUUGAGUUUUGUCCCUGAUUUAAUCAGCUCCAUACUUGAAGAGACUACAAUGGCUGAGCUCCAUACUUGACAUGAAUGCUAUUGUAUUUGCGACUAGGUAGGAAUCACUUGCACUUGAUGCAUGGUAGCAUUCCUCCAAACCUUGGAAACCUCUAAUUUCUCGUCUCCUUCAACAUCAGUAACAACAAUUCCCAUGGUUAUUUCCCCGCGGAGUUGGCUCAUUUACCGAUUGAUAGCUCAUCCACUGAUUCAUUGAUUGCUCAUCGAAUAAUUUCAGUGAUGCCAUACUAUUAUUUUUAAGUUUGUUGCCAAACCUACGCUUUGUGCAAAACUCGCGCAACAAAUUUUCGGGGACAAGGCCAUCUCCCCUUCCAAUCUGACAAAAGCUGGAAGAGUUGAGCUUGCAGGGAAAUUUUUUCCCUCGAGAAAUCAGUGAUCUUAGUUAUUUGAUAGUCUUAAAAUACCAUCGAUCUUUAAUGUUACAACGGUGCAAGUAAUUGCUCUUUCCGGCAACACUUAUUUAGCUUCACAACUAUAUAUAUCGACCAUCUUCCAAAAUUGAAAGGAUUUUGCCUCUAAGAAACUCCCUAGAUGGAAUUAUUCCACCAAACCUGGAGAAAUACAAGCUUCAAAUUGGAACUGUGCCCAAGGGGUCUUUUGGUAGGAUUGUGAAAAAAUAAUAUAAAAUAUGAUUUAAUGAUAAUGCUUAUCAAUAUUAAUUAACGCUUAUAGUUUUCUAUGCAGUGUUUGAUAUUAGUGUACAUGAAUGACAUAAUUUUUAGAGAAAAAAAUUGUUUACAAAAACAUCCCCAAAGAUAUGGUGGAAAGUGGAAAGAAUGUUAAAACUUUUUUUUUUUGAGGGUAAUUAUUUUUAAUUAUGCUAAUGCAUGAAUUAAAAUUCACUAAUAUAGAUUUAAGAAUAGAGUGUAUAAUUAAAAUAAAAAUUAUUUAUAUAGAUUAGAAAAGGUGAAACACAUAGAUAGUCUCUUAAAUUUGUUGAUUUUCUGUGUUGGGGUCUUAAUUGUGUAUUGAAUUCCUAAGUCUUCCAUAAACUGAGUCAAUUAAACACAAUCCUCUGACGUGACACAUUUUUUAAACUUAUAUUGUUAUGAGUUGUGUGUGAAUCAAACUCGCGUGAAAAUUUUAACCAAUCAAAAAACUACAUCCAUUUUUAUUUUGCACUUCAUCUUCUAAAAAGAAAAUCCAAUAUUUCAAUAACCAUAUUGAUAAGAAAAUCCAAAAUUUCAAUAAUCGUAUUGAUAUUGGUGCAUCUUUUCGAAGGUCCAACAUAUAUUGACUUUAUCAAUUUUAGGUACUUGUGAAUCAUUUGAAUUUUUUGCGGAAGAAGAAUCUACAAUUUUAAAUUUUUCCGAUUUUAUUUUUCUAACCCAAAAAGAAGAUUCAAAACUUAGGAAUCGAUAUGAGAAUCGAAAUCACAGAUUGGGGUUUUGAGUUAGAAUAUUGGAAUAACUUUUGAUUUGAAAAAACACCUCUUUUGAAAAAGCUUGUUGAAUAGAAACUGACUUGGAGGAGUUGUCUUAUUUGGACGUUAGGCACAAUGAAAAUCAAAUCAAAGAACGUAUUAGCAUUGUCAUUUAAGGCCAACAAGUUCAUUUGGGUCUUCAAACUUGUUGACAAAUUUGAUGUUCAUAUGAAAAAAUUAAUCAAAUAGCUUGUUAUGGCCCUUCACUUUAACCACUUUCAUAAAGAAUGAAGGGAGUCGAAGAUUUAAUGGAUCUUCUCUGAUCUUAAAUUUGGAGUUGAAGAUGAGGAAGAGAGAAAGAGGGGAAAAUUAAGUCCAAAAAGCUAGAAGGGGGGAAAUUAUUAUUAUUGCCAAUCCACACACGGUCAAAUAACGUGAAGCUACACGAUAUGUACGAUGUCAGAUAAAAAAAUUUAAUAGACAGUACUUUAUAAGAGGUUCAAGGGCUUAAUAGCAAUAUGACCUUAUUAAAGUGUCAAUACUUUAAAAAAAGAAAAUUACAAAGUUAAGGACCCCUUAAUAUUAUCAAAUAAAGUGUUAAUAAGAUAAAAGAUUAAAACAAACAUUCUUCUUCUAAUACACUCUAUUCAAGUGACCCUUUACAGAAUUACAUACGGAAGCUCAACAUUUGGAAGGUGGUAUGAUAUUUUCGUACAGGAGACGAAAGUUUUUCGCCUUUCCUCUCUUCCGCCAAACUGGUAAGCCGUACAUUGAACAAUGAACAAAGUCGUAGAAAGUUAAGACGGCUGGUAAAAUUGGGCCACGAAUCAAGUUGUAAUAGAAGGAAGCCCAAUUUAUAGAGAUCACUUGGGUGUAUCUGUAAUGGGCCUAGAGGGAAUUGUCCAGAAAGUUCCCGACAUCUGCCUCUGGAAUUUCUACUUGACUCUAGAAAUAUCUCUCUAUGGAUGAUAAUAAACUUAGAAGUAAGGAGAAAGUGGUGGACACUCCUCUACGAAACUAUAAAUACCCACCAGCUCCUCUUUCGUAAACGAUGAUCGGAAUUGAAUCAAGCAAUCAGGGAACCAAGCAAACAAAGAAAAUUCAAGCUCACUGAAAAUGUCGCUAAUCCCAAGAAUCUUCGGCGAUCGACGAAGCAGCAGCAUGUUCGAUCCAUUCUCAAUCGACAUGUUUGAUCCAUUCAGGGAAUUGGGCUUCCCAGGUUCCAAUUCAAGGGAGGCCUCUGCAUUUGCCAACACACGAAUCGACUGGAAGGAAACACCCGAGGCGCAUGUUUUCAAGGCCGAUCUUCCAGGGCUUAAGAAGGAGGAAGUGAAAGUAGAGAUCGAAGAGCAUAGGGUACUUCAGAUUAGCGGAGAG